CUACUCCCUGUCUACUCCAUGUACAAGGUAAUACUACUCCCUGUCAACUCCAUGUACAAGGUAAUACUCCCUGCCUACUCCAUGUACAAGGUAAUACUCCCUGCCUACUCCAUGUACAAGGUAAGAAUACUCCCUGUCUACUCCAUGUACAAGGUUAGAAUACUCCCUGUCUACUCCAUGUACAAGGUAAGAAUACUCCCUGCCUACUCCAUGUACACGGUUAGAAUACUCCCUGUCUACUCCAUGUACAAGGUUAGAAUACUCCCUGUCUACUCCAUGUACAAGGUUAGAAUACUCCCUGCCUACUCCAUGUACAAGGUUAGAAUACUCCCUGUCUACUCCAUGUACAAGGUAAGAAUACUCCCUGCCUACUCCAUGUACACGGUUAGAAUACUCCCUGUCUACUCCAUGUACAAGGUUAGAAUACUCCCUGUCUACUCCAUGUACAAGGUUAGAAUACUCCCUGCCUACUCCAUGUACAAGGUUAGAAUACUCCCUGUCUACU